AAUAAAAGAUUUGCAAGUGUGUGGUGCCCAUAGAUGAAAUCAUCGUAAUUUAUUUGAUACCACAGUUUAAAUACGAAAUUCUUUACGGUCGCUGUGUGUGUAUUAAACGAGCAUGUCAUUGAAAGCUAUUAAAUUGAUAGUGCUGGAUGCGGACGCAAUAUUUCAGCAUCGAUUUUCAUUGUUGAAGAAAUGGAUCGAUGGAGUUUCAAGAAUUAGCAUCAAUGAUGAUGAACGCAUAUCGGAAGCUGAAAGCGUCAGUAUUUUGAACUUACCAUCGCUAAAAAAAGGUAAUAUGCUGUCGAAAUCACCGUCGGCCAAACUCGAAUUAAUUUUAAAGGACAAGGAACGUCUCAACACUUGGAUUGAGAAUUACAAAAUUCAAUCAGAAAAAGACUCGGUGAAGAUUGCAACUUUUCGUGAAGCAGCAACUCGACUUAAAAUGCUUCUCGAUGACGCCGACUUUGAUGAAGGUGACUAUCGAAUUGCUAGACGCAGAGGAAUUGAAGAAAUAAACGAUAUACUUGGCAACAUCAGUGCACUUUAGUCGAUAUUGUCAACUUAUAAGUUGAGAUUAAUUUAUACCUGAAGGCAAAAUAAACAAUUUGCGAGCAUUUA